rnacentral:lncRNA from 1 species
AGGCUGUCAAAGGCAAUUGCCACAAGAGGUCAACGCCAAGGCUGCUCUGCAGAUAUGACCAGGGCUCAUUUUUUCCAUGAUCUUAGAGAAACUGGAUAAGCCCGGGGCAAAUCGGGCCCAGAGAUGAGAUGGUAGGACAUUAUGGCAGGCCCUGAAACCCCAGCGUGCCCCAGCAGAGGCCUGUGGUGGCCUCUGGGGAGGUGGGCGGUGGUGGAGGUCCGUGUGAGAGGGCAGCAGCAGCAGCAGAUUAGGCCCUGUGGAAGCCCACUUCCUUCCAGAGACAGUGCCAGGGGAGGAAGGGUCCAGACUGAGGGCAGGACGGGCCAGGGGGUGUGGCAGGCGGAUGCCCCCCUGGGCAGGUGACCUCAUCCACCCCUCCCGUGUCGCCUCCUCUGAUCUGCUCCCUCUGGAGAUGGGGAAAUCCAGAGUAGGGGCAACAGGAAGUAUAUUCCCAAGAAGACUGUAGACCCCCGCACAGGGAAACGAUGGAGCUCAGGAGGGGCGCUGAUCUCGGGAGCCUGGAUCCACCAGUUAUGCAAGUGAUGAAGUGAGUACGCACGGUCCUCGAGGCCAGGGCCGGCGCAGUAAGAACGAACAGGUUGUUCUGGAAAAUUGUCUGGCAGCCUCCCCGCGGCCUGCCUGCAGGAACUGGCAUCUGUGGAGUACUUUGCCUUGCUUGUUGAUCCACAGCACUUACCACAUCCUGGAGAAACAGGUCAAUACAGGUGGCCCUCAGGAGCCAUGGGCCCCAUGUUUGGAACUCUGACCCACACAGGGGCAACCUGAACUCCUGAGCCAUAGCCAACCCCUCCCACCCGGGGCCUCUGAUGAGCUGGGCCCCCCUGCAAAUAACGUUCCUGUCUGUUUCCAUCUGUGAGCUCCUGCUCGCGAUCUAAGGCCCAGCUGAAAGUGCUUCUUCCUUCCUGGGCCACCUUCCUUUCAUUCUCAGCUUUUCUAAAUUAUGAACAUUUCAAACAUUCCCAAAGGAGAGAGAGUGCACGAUGCACCUGAACCAUAUGUCGCCCAGAAUCCAUGGCUAUCAAGAUCUUACCACAGUUGCUUCAUGGAUCCCUGCCUCUACUUAUUUCUUUCUGAGUUGCUUUAAUGUUUCACGCCACUUUAUAUCUAUGUACUAGAUUUUGCAUCUCUAAAAUAGAGGGGCAUUUUUAUACGUAAUGAUGUUAUGGUCGUCUGGCCUAAAAAUUGCCAACACUUCCUUGCUAUCUAUCAUUCAAUACCCAGUCCAUAUUGAAAUUUCCCUUCUGAAAAUUAAUUUUUGGAAUCAAGUCUACCAUCGGAUUUGGUUGAAUUUCUGAAGGAAGGGGGUCCAUUGCUCUGCCGAAUGUCCCCACAUGGCUUCUGUCUCCAUCCACCACGUAUGUCCAGCUUGCGGCCCUGACUCUAGGUGCCCUCAAUUAUGCCCACUGUGGAAACGGCCUUUCUGCCACAUCUGAAGCUUGAGCCUUGGAGGCAGGCAUGACGUCUCAUCUCUGUGUUCUUUGUGGUUCCCAAGGCAAUGCGUGGUGUAUCCGAAGUGCUCCACUGAGUCUCGAAAACGUCCCUGCAUUGGAGGGAUCAUGGAGUGAAUUUUGUCUUUGCCACUCCACUUACAACUUCAAGUCUGGAGAUUUUGAAACACCCCAUGACUGGGAGUGACCGCUGGCUCGGAGAGGUUUGUACACAGAGCAGAGGGUAGACUAGAUGACCCUUAAGAUCCACCAUGACUCUGCAAUUCAGGCAUGCGGAACCUGGCUGAUGACAGACAUCGACUUUGUCCUCCAACCUUUUUCCGGGACUUAUCAAUAUUCUCGUGGUUAAAUUCCACAAGCUGGCAUGAUCUGAGGAGGGAAAUUAGGACAUGGUUUCUUGCCAUUACUUUUUACAGCUUGGCAAGGGGCAGGAGGCUGCCAUCCCCUUCUGUGGUUGCUGUGUCAUUCUGUGGGGUUGCUGGAGCCGGGGCCUGAGGUGUCAGGGCGGUGGAAGCUCCUGACCCUGCCCUGCUUUCUGACCCACCUCUCAUCUCACAACCUCUGACCUUGUUUAUUUCUAGAGGCAUAAUCUGUGUGCCAUAUUGUGAGUAAAUGAGAAAAUGUGGCUUGGAUUAUGGAAUUCAGCUUUAUGAUUCAUUUGUUCAGCAAGCUCUUUUUGAGAAUCUAUCUUGUGCCAGGCCCUAGAUUCUGGGGGUUUAAAAAUUGCCAAGACCCAGGCGUGGUGGCUCACGCCGCUAAUCCCAGCAUUUUGGGAGGCCGAGGUGGGCGAAUCACAAGGUCAGGAGUUCGAGACCAGCCUGGCCAACAUGGUGAAAACCCGUCUUUACUAAAAAUACAAAAAAAAUUAGCUAGGCAUGGUGGUGGGUGCCUGUAAUCCCAGCUACUCGGGAGGCUGAGGCAGGAGAAUCGCUUGAACCCAGGAGGCGCAGGUUGCAGUGAGGCGAGAUCUCACCACUGCACUCUAGCCUGGAUGACAGUGCAAGACUCCAUCUGAAAAAAAAAAAAAAAAAAACAACAAAACAAGAACGGCCAAGACCCACCUUGCUAGCAAGAAGUUCACUGUCUAAUGACAGAGACAGACCAAAGUGGCAUAAGAGAGCAAGCCUGAAUGCUAUGAGAGAGACCCAUUUCAGACUGCUGGGGUAUAGGAGGGCUUCCUGGAGGAGGCAGCUUCUAAGUUGAGUCUUAAAGGGUGAAGUACAGACAUGAAAGAAGCAAUGCCUGGGAAGGUACUCAAGAAAAAGCAUGAUGUGGUGGGGAAGGGCUGCAGCCCAGCCCUGUGCCUGCAUCCCACGCAUUUCUACUUGAUUCCUUAGCUCCCUAAACCUUGCUUGUCUCAUCUGUAAGGUGGAGAUAAAAAUAACAGUCUUCUUUUAUUAUGUGAGUUGCAAAUGACAGAGUGCAUGUGAAGGCUCCUGGUGCCAAAAAUGUUAGCAGAAUUGAGUGGAAGCAGAGUGAACACUCACUGAGGGCCGGGAGACUUAGGAGGGAGCUGGACCCCCCGGGAUGCUUUGCUGGAUGACCACAGCUUGGGGAGGGGGCUACUGCCUUUGGAGAAUGGCAACACUAUCAUGCAGCUCAGAAGGCUGGAGUCUAAUACCCUGCUCAGCAACCAGGCAUAGUCCAUUCCAUCACAGAGCCUGGGUUCACCUUGAGGACAGUGAGAACUCAGCCCUGGCCAUGUGGAAGUCAAAGCGUGCAGCACCUACGUACAUGGACCUCACCUGUCAUCCAAGUCUCCAAACCACACUGCAAUACAAACAUCGCCAAAGUAGCAGGCUUCUCUCCUCUGGGUGACAUCCACAGGGCAGAUCUGAGCAACACUUAGUGUCUCCUGGGACCUUCCCAGCCUCGGACAGAAUGGUUGUUAGAGGAACAAGCUCACUAUUGGCUUCCAUUUAUUUGAAGUGAACGACGAUGUCCCUCUAUUUGAAAAGACCUUUCUUCCACACCUAUCCUUCCUUCAACCUGCUGUUGGAAUCAGGUCCCUUAACUACAGAGAAUUCAAUGGUACCCCAAUCCCAUACACGUCAAACUUUGAUUAAAGAAUGUCUUACUCUGACCAAGGAUCUCAGAGCCCCCAGAUGAACCUCAAGACAUGGUUGGCCAUUUUUCUUUACCAUUUGUGGGAUAAAAAAGCUGAAAAUAGCCAGGAGCGGUGGCUCCCACCUGUAAUUCCAGCACUUUGGAAGGCUGAGGCAGGUGGAUCGUGUGAGCUCAGACAUUCGAGAUCAGCCUGGGCAACAUGGUGCAACCCUGUUUCUAUAACAAGUACAAACAUAAGCCAGGCAUGGUGGCAUGUGCCUUUAGUCCCAGCUACUUGGGAGGCUGAAGUGGGAGGAUUGCUUGAGCCUGGGGGUUUGAGGCUGCUGUGAGCUGUUUUUAGGCCACUGCACUCCAGCCAGGGAGACAAAGCAAGACCUUGUCAAGAAAAAAAAAAAAAAAAGAGACCUGGUUUGGUGGCUCACACAUGUAAUCCCAGUGUUUUGAGAGGCUGAGGUGUGAGGAUCCCUCGAGCCCAGGAGUUUGAGACUAGCCUAGGCAACAUAGCAAGACCCCAUCUGUGUUAUUAAAAAAGAAGAAGAAGAAGAAAAAGCCUAAGGGUAAGUGAGCAAAGGGCCAAAGGCUUCUGGGUUUGUGGACUCUGCACUUGGAAGACUGAAAUGGGCUUUGCAGAUUAGGAUCAGCAUUCAAAAUUGCUUCUAGAAGUUUCUGAGUAGGUAGAAAUUAGGAAGAGAGGCUUGCAGAAGUCUGAGUCAACUAGACUGAGGUCAGAAUCCCAGCUUGACCUCUUAUUAGCUGUUUGACAUUAGGUAAAUUUCUUACAUUUACUUGAGCCUCAGUUUCUUCAUCUGAAGACUGGGACAUGAUCAUGCCUGUCUCAUUUGUUGUUGUCAGCCAAAAUGAGAUAAAGUAUGAAAAUGCGCUUUGCACAAUGGCUGGAGUAUUAUCAGAAUGCUAAAAUAUUCCCAGGUGCUGUGGUCUGAAUGUCUGUGUCUCCUCUCCAAAAUUCCCAUGUUGAAAGCUAACCCUGAUGUGAUGGUUGGUAUUAGGAAGUGAAGUCUUUGGGAGGUGAUGAGGUCAUGAGGGUGGAGCCCUCACGGAGGUGAUUAGUGCCCUCAUAAGUAAGGGGCUAGUGAGGACGAAGCAGGAAGCAGGCUGUCUGGAAGAGGCCACUCCAGAACCCGACCAUACUGGCACCCUCAUCUCAGACUUCUGGUCUCCAGAACUGUGGGAAAGAUUUGUUAUUUAUAAGCUAGAAGCUUCCAGAGCUGUAAAAAACAAAUGUCUGUUAUUUAUAAGAUACAGUCUAUGGUAUUUUGUUAUCUCAGCCCAAAUGGACUAAGACAACCAGUAAAUGUUAGUUCAUUCCCCUCUUUGCAUGCAAAGGGAAAACUGCUUGACCAUGACUUCACAUCAAGAGCUGUGUCCACUCUUAGUAGGUCCAUAUGGCAAGCUUUGUUUGGGUAGAGACCAGCAGAACUAAAACAGCACCCUGUCUCUGAAAAUAGUUAUUCAGAUCUAAAGACGCUACCCCAGAGCCAUGCUGCUUUAUAGCCCCUGACCAGUCAACAUCCUGAUUACGGUGGUGUUAGGGGCCUGACCUUGAUCUACUUUUCCUGUGGUCAGGAGAGGUAGACUGAACUGUCCCCAAUGUGCCCAUGGGAGCUGUCAAAACAAAGUUCAGAGAAUAGGCUUGGUCCUUGAACACUCUCUCUGUGCACCUCCUGUAUCUGUAGCAGUAAUGAUCAAUCAACAAACAGAUAAAUACAAUUACGAUGUUUUCUAUGUGCCAGGCACUAUGUUACGUGCUCUCCAUGUAUUAAUUCAUUUCAUCUUAACUCAACAGUAGGUGCUCAAUAAGAAUAUGACAACUUACAAAUUCCUACAGCAGCCCAAGUUCAGGGCUAUUUCCACCCUCAUCGCACAGAUAAGGACACAGUCACAUGUAAUGCACUUUGUAGUUUACAAAGCAUUGAAAUAAAGCGCACAUUUUCUGAGUAUAAAAGCAGCACAUAAUAAUAGUAGGAAACGUGGAAAAUUAAUAGAAUUAAAGAAGAAAAACAGCAAUCAUCCUUAAUCCCAUCACUCACCGAAGCAGCUGCACCUGAUUUUUAAAUGGGCUCCCUGGAUAGAGAUGAUGAUGAUAUUGAUAUAUUUUGUAGAAACAGAAACCAAAGCUUUGAGAGAGCAGUUGCACAGUGUGGAGCAGAUCUGAGGCUCGAACCCAGCCUUUCCCCGUAUUUCCCUACAACUCUGAUGGUUGCAAUUUUUGAAGUCUGUCUCGAUUGGAUUUGCAGGUUCCUCUUCCACUUUGGGGAAAGUUCUGAAGCACUCGGUCUGAGUGACUGGAGUGGAGCUGGUUUAACCUGUGAUGGUAAAUCACUCAUUCUCAAGUUUCUGACCUGGGAGCCUUAGAUCCCUGGGGUAGAAGGGUAGCCAGAGUUAUUGCAAGAGGCCUGAGAAUGCAUGUGCCCUGCAAGCAUUGCCUGUGUGGACUGAAUAAGCAGCACUUCCCAGCCAUGUGAGCUGUUAUUUGUUGAAUCUAUGUAGAUGGCUAUAAUUAAUAAAAUGCAUGUUUAUUCAAAAGCAUGGCUAAAUUCAUUAUAGACUUUUGUCAUGUAUUUUCUUAAUCAAGAAAUAUUAAACAUACAACCACUAUCACAUGACAGUCUGCCAUAUUUUGGGGGUUUCAAAAGGAUUCACAAAUAUGAGAAUACAGGUGCUGCUACUAAAGAGGAAAGCCAAGGAAAGCUGAGGCUGCAUCCAGGGCUUGUGCAGAGCAAGGGGACAGUAGAAAUGGGGAUGGGCGUCUCUCUGGAGGGACUUGGAAGCAGCCACUCAUUUAGUAAGCUCCACGGUGUGGUAUCGUGUUAAUGAAAUACUCACUUAGUUUGUUAAUUUUUAAAAUGGUUUUUAAAAAAUCUGAAUCCACUUCAUGUUGCAUAGACCUAGUCUGAGUUUGGAAGGGUAGCCCAAUAGAAAUGAAGGUGCGGACUUAUUUUAUGGCCCUAGUCUUUCAUGGAAAAAGAGUGAUAUUGCCUUGUGUGAUUCUGGGAAGCAGCCUCCCACGUCCCUUCUUUGGGCGAGUGAAGAGUUCAAUCUAGGUGCAUACUGGGGCACCAUGCCUGCUUCACACCACCUCUCACCUGUCACCUGGGACCCUUCCUCUCUGUCUUGUGGUUUAUGGUCCCCUGCCCAUUUUCUCUGCCAGAUUUUGGGCUUUGUGGGUCCAGGACUAUGCCUGCUUUUUUUUGGGGGGGGCGGGGCAGUGUUUUGCUCCGUUCCCCAGGCUGGAGUGCAGUGAUGCGAUCAUAGCUCACUGCAGCCCUGACUUCCCAGGCUCAAUUGAUCCUCCCACCUCAGUCUCCUGAAUAGCUGAAACCUGGCUAACUUUUUUUAUUUUUUGAAAAAACUGGGUCUUGCUAUGUUGCCCAUGCUGGUCUUGAACUCCUGGCCUCAGGUGAUCUGCCCACCUCGGUGGCCGUAAGUGCUGGGAUUGUAGGCAUGAGCCACCACACCUGGCCCUACAUCUGCCUUGUUAACAGCCUUAUCUCCAAGAUCCAGCAUAGAAUGUAUUGAAAAAUAUUUGUUGAACAAAUAAGUCACUGACUGGAUGAAUACAUGAAUAGUUAGGUGUGUCUUUAAUUUUACAAAGUAGAGAUGAAAAUGUUUGAAGGAGAUUUAAAAAGUACAGAUCACUAUUCAAUAUGCCUUUUUAUUUUUUCUCCUGCAUGAAUUUCUAGGUCAGAGUGUUGAAUGGAAAACCCAUUUUUCCCCUUGAUUAUAGAAACAAUAUAUGCUUGUUCUAAAAACAAAACAAAAUGAAAAAGAUAAGGAAAAAGCUGGCUGUCCCUCCUAAUCGCGUCUCCGUGCACCUCUGGAGCACGCCCUCCUGGUUCUCCUGAGUGUGUUAUGUGUAAGUAUCCAUUGCCCUCGCCAUGGAGCCAUCCUUUGCCUUCCGCUGUGCCUGGGAGGCUGACCCCCUCGGGGAAUUACCCAGGUUCCUUUGGCCCCUGGCUUCCUGUGAGUUCAGCUGAUGAGAGGCACCUGCAGGAGUCAAGCCUGUGGGCAGAGAGAGAAAUCCUGAGACAGCCGCUCCCUGUGUCCACGUUCGUCUCUGUGUCUGCACUUGUCUCUCUGUCCGUGCUCAUCUCUGAGGCUGCUUGUCCUUCCUGGCUUCAGUUUCCACCACCGCCCCCCACCCUGCAUGGUUCCAGUCCUAGCCAGGCCCCAGAAACUCUCUCCACCUGCUUUGUUCUUCAUGGGUAUGGGGUCCUGGGAGCCCCGCCUUGCUAGCCUGGGUGUCACCUUCCUGUCUGUUCACUUCACUCUGCACACAGCUCUUGAAGGGGUCCCUUCACUAAAGCUUCUUCCUAUGGACCCUAUUUGAUACAUUCUGCUUUUAGCCAGGACCCUGAUUGCAACAAGAUGCAUCUAUAGUCACAUAAUCAGAGUUGUCCUAUAUAUUCUAUUUUAUAAUCUGCUUUUUAAAGUUAACUAUACACUAUUAUAGGACUCUUUUAAAUCCAGCAAAUAUAACUACAGGUCCUCAUUAUUUUACUUGUUAAGAUUUUCAACAGGAUUUAAUGAAAUCCCACAAAUAUUGAUUGAGCACCUAUCAUGUACAGGAUGUAGUCCCGCCCUUAGGCGGGGUACAGAGCCACGUGGGCAUUAAGACAGAUGUGGAAAUUAUGUGGAUGGAAAAUACAAGGUGUCAUCAG